rnacentral:lncRNA from 1 species
CUAGCACAAGUCUGUCCGAUUUAGCCUUUAUUUGUCUAUCUGAAGCUUGUUUCAUUUCGAGUUUUCUAGGUUUUUUGAAUUCUUGCUUUUUGCCGACGAUUUUUCCGGCGACCCCAGCUCUUUUCUUCCUAUUCUCUCAUCUGCUUUUGUGGGUGUGUGUGGGUGUGUUCUGUUUUCUUGGACAGGUGCCUUAUUUUUCCGGCGAGGAUUUCCGGCAAGCUACAGUACUUCCGGCGACUCCCGCUCGCUUUCUUUCUUUUCUUCCUAUUCUCUCAUCUGCUUUUGUGGGUGUGUGUGGGUGUGUUCUGUUUUCUUGGACAGGUGCCUUAUUUUUCCGGCGAGGAUUUCCGGCAAGCUAUACUACUUCAGGCGACUACACGUUCAGACUUUCGGCAGGACGCAACAGAACUACACGUUCCAAUAAGCUUCACGAAAACUUGCACUAGCUACUAGUCGCGGCGGUGAGGCCAGCUCGCGGCGUUUGGGAGUGAAGAGCUAAACAACACCGGCCGGGACGUUCAAGAGUCGGUAGCAGUUGACCUUGGGCGCAUCAAAGCCUACUUUCAGGUUUUUCCUCCUGGAGUUGGUACCUCCUUGUUGCGGGCCGCUCAAUUUGAUAG